CAGGAUUUUAUCGCUGUGGAAGAUGUUCUCGCUGUCCCCGCAGUUGUCCUCGUACUUGGUCUCAAUGUAGAUGGAGAACUUGGGCAGGAAGGAGCACGUGUACUCAGUGAUGGUGUAGGGGUAGUAGUUCCAGGCCUUCUCCGUGAUGUAGAAGAUGCGGGGAGUCACCGCCCGUGCCCAGCCGGGCAGCUUGCUGGAGAGGUGGACGCGCUUCUCAGUGAACUGCCCAGGGCCGUGCACGGGGUCCUCGUGGGGUUCGUUCCGCACCACCUCCACGCCCUCACCCUUCUCGCUCUCCUGGUGGCUGUGCUUGCUGAUGGUGUACAGCUGCCCCACGCGGUACUCCUCGGUGGUGAGCGGCAUGCAGAUGCGGUACUCCUUGACCAGCAUGGUGGCGGGGUCACACGUGGGCACAGCUCAUCCCGGGUCCGCUCCGGUCCCGUUCCCCGCUCCCCGCUGCCCGCUGCCCGCUCCCCGCCGUGUCCCGGCCGCCCCGGGCCGUGCGCAGGAGCUGCCGCCUCCCGCACCGCCGUUCCGGCGCA
rnacentral:lncRNA from 1 species